CCCUCUUUCGUCUCUCUUCCUUGGUACUUGUGUUUGGUUUCACUCCUUCCAUGCCUUCUUCGAAGGCAUCAGAUACUCCGGUUGGACCUGUCACGCGUCGCUGCCACUUCGCUGAUCCCAGACACCCCCCAACCUGACCGUGCGUGGAGGUGAAACGUGCGUUGGAGGAACCUGUGAACGGAGGAGGGUGAGUUUCAUUUUUGGCCACACAGGCCCCACCAUCCAGACCAAAUGCGGGCGACUGUGGUUUGUGGACAGAGAACUAGAACCAAGGAGUUCCCGUCGUGGCGCAGUGGUUAACGAAUCCGACUAGGAACCAUGAGGCUGCGGGUUCGAUCCCUGCCCUUGCUCAGGGGUGAAGGAUCCAGCGUUGCCAUGAGCUGUGGUGUAGGUCACAGACGCAGCUCGGAUCUGGCAUUGCCAUGGCUGUGGUGUAGGCCAGUGGCUACAGCUCCGAUGAGACCCCCAGCCUGGGACCCUCCAUAUGCCGUGCGACCAUAAACACAACAAACAAACAAACAAAAAAACCAGUAGGAACCGAACAGGGAUCUUAAUGAGCUCUCUAGGGCUAAAGAAAAAGGGUCUCCUCUGGCCCUCCUUGUGUCAGGAGGGCUUUUUUGGCGGCUCUGUGAGCGACUGGGGACACGAGGCUGGCCGGUGGCCGGGCCUCCGAUCUCCACAUGAAUGGACGGCCGCUCUGGGGACUGGACUGCCCGGCGCCGUCUGUCCCUCUUUCACUUUACUGCCACUAUUUUCUGCCAGCUCAGUCUCCCUAAUUCACAUUCAACCUCCCCAAGAGGAGAAUCGGAUUAGUCCCUUAGAGUGGGGAAAAUAAAUGAACCCCAAACCCAGAGCAGGCAUAUUCAAACGAAUUAAAAUAAGCCACAUGCAAACCUACUUAAGUGUUGGCCAGAAACCCAUAGAAAACAGAAGUGAAAUCUGUAAACCCGGCCCCGCGCAGGAUGCGGCGGAGGGGCCCUUCCUUCGCUGCGCUCCCCUCCGCAUCUCUCCGUGGCAGUGGCAGCGGCAUCUGCCACCUGCGUGCGAUCGCGGCUCAGGCUGGUUCCCACACUGCGUCCCAGCCCCCUUCCCACGCCCCCUCUCCUGUGCGCACCCCAAACCACACUUCCCACUCGUCCUGCGUACCCCCUCCUCGCUGAGCAAACCCAGGCUCCCGGUGAGGAAGAGGGAGGGCAGAGAAAGCCCGCAGGCAGUGUGGCCUGAGCCACCGGUGCCUGCACCCCGGGUGAGAGGGAGGCCGCAGGCCACUUUCUGGUGUGGCACCUGCUCUGUGAUUCAGCCGCUCUAUGGGCAUCUGAUACAGAACAAGCUCUUUAGAGGAUUCAGCUCCCUUCCUGUCACCCACAUGGCACAUGCCUGUGACUGUUUCAUUUCAGGAAGAAGGCCUGGGGGUCCUGUGAUUUGCCCUGGGUGAGGGUGGCAUUUGUCUCUGGUGCCUGUGAUUCCAUGACAGCCAGCCCUCCUUUUCCCUGGUUAGUGAGAUCUCGGUACCUUUCCAGGACUGGCUGAGUGAGGGAAGGUGGAACCAGCUCCAGAGGGUGACUGGUGGUUAGUUUAAGGCAAUUCCCCUCUGUUAUUAAUUGGGUUUGGGCAGCAGGGGACUGGGGGCGUGUGAUCCUGUUCUCGCCAAUGAGAUGUAAAGGAAAGUCUGGGAGAAUUUUGGGAAACAUUUUCCAUUCUAAUGAGAACAGAGGUACGUGAAGUGAAUUUCCCCUUUCCUUCUGGCCUGUGUAUAUUAUUGUGUAUGAUGUGAUGUUUGGAGCUCUGGCAGCCAUCUUGUGACUAUGAGGAGAAGAAAAAAAAAAAUCAAGAGAAUGCAGAGAUGCUGACCUAGAGCCUUGAUAUUAUCAAAGCACUGGAUCAAUGUGGGAUUUUCUACGUCUAUACUUACAUGUAAUAAUAAGCCCUUGUUGCUUACACACUGUCAGUCAGGUGUCCUGUUUUUGCUGCCAAAAGCUCCUUGACAGAUGUAUCAGGAGGCAGUGUGCCUUGGGACUUUCUGGGGCGAGGCCCCCGUGGUGAUCUACUCUGCAGAGAGCAAGGGUGAUGGGAGAAGAUGGAGCAGGUUCUGCUUUGGUGGCAGCACCAGCCUGCAGGAAACGUCAGAAUCCGCUGUUGUUCCCACAGAUGGCCACUCAGUUAAGGGGACCUGUUUGUCUGUCUUGGGUUCAGAAAACACCCAUGUUAGGUCCGAGGGGAGUGUUCCUGCCUUUCUUCCCCCCUGGCCUUCCUCUCAGCCAGCUGUCACCCUGGGGGCAGGAAGGAGGGGGUCUCAGGGAGAAAUGGAACUCGCUCGCACCCGCCCCAGGCUAGAGAGAAGCUUUAGCUUUUCCUAAACUUUGAAAAAAUUAUUAUGGUGAUGGGUUUCCACAGAGGUAGGAGGAGCAGAGAAACUCAGCCCCCAUUUAUUCAUUCUCUAAUUUCUUUUUUUUUUUUUUUUUUUUUUUGUCUUUUUGCUAUUUCUUGGGCCGCUCCCACGGCAUAUGGAGGUUCCCAGGCUAGGGGUCGAAUCGGAGCUGUAGCCACCAGCCUACGCCAGAGCCACAGCCACGCGGGAUCUGAGCCGUGUCUGCGACCUACACCACAGCUCACGGCAACUCUGGAUCAUUAACCCACUGAGCAAGGCCAGGGAUCGAACCCGCAACCUCGCGGUUCCUAGUCGGAUUCGUUAACCACUGAGCCACGACGAACAGCUCCCAAGAGUCUGCCUUUUAUGUUAUACCUGUUUGUCCCCAACGCCAUUUCUUCUGGAGGAUUUUAAAGCCCGUUGCAGACACGGCCUCACAAUCCUGAUAAGUACUUCCGUGUGUGUCUCUAAUACCUCAGGACAUUAAAAGAAACACAACCACAGUGCACUGCUCACACCCAACCACUCUCAGUGGUCAGCCCAUACCAUGUGAUACCUAAUAGGCAGCUCAUGCUCAAUUUUCCCCUUGACUCCAGAAUGAAAUUUUUGGUUCAUGUACUCAAACCAGGAUCCAAACAUCCUCGGGAUGGGUCUCCUCGGUUCUCACAUCACUGCUGAUGGCUUUUAAUAGCCCCAGCGGUCAUCCCCUUGCUUCACCGUUUCUUUGCAAAACUAAUUUUCUAAGAACGUGAUUACCUGUGUAUUAAUUAGCUGGGUUCUUCUAUUAAGAAUCUCCCCCCAUCAGCUGCCGGGUUUCUCCGUAUAGGAAGGGCCGCCCAGAGGCUGGAGUCUCUGCUUUCCAUCUUCAAUCCUCCCUGCCUCCAAAGAGAGCCAGUGGGUUUGGGGUUUUUGUUCUUUGUCGGACUUUGUUUUCGUGUUAUUAUUGGGAGCCCAUGAGUUUGUGUCUAUUCGGUUGCUGUCAUCCUUCGUUUUGAUGCUCAGAUUGUCCAAUCUUGGGUGAACUGGUGAGCCUUCCCGUUGGGUCCUGUGUCGUUUUAAACACACUCUGGGGUCAGAGUUCCCCGGUGGCUCAGUGGGUUAGGGGUCUGGCAUUGUCACUGCAGCGGCUUGGGUGACUGCUCUGGCGCAGGUGCCAUCCUUGGGCUCAUCUCCCUUUUCUGCGCCGUAGCUGACCUGAACAGUUUCUCCAAGGAGCCCUGGUUCCUUUCAGUGCACAGUGAUGCUUCGAAAUCAAAUCUGCGUGGAGAAACCUUUCACUUUAAAUGACUGUGGAGCCUUGGCUGUCCCAUGGCGCUGGACGUUUUUAAUUACCGGGGAAUGAGAUUGUGCUAAAGGGAGUGAGAAAACCUGUGUUUUCUGAGGUGGAUGAGAACCUGCCCUGACUCAUGCCUGGCCCUGGCAGUUGAGUGACAUCUCCAGCCUCAGGUGUGCUCACCUGCAUGGUGGGACGAGCUGACCCACCUCAGGGGGCUCUGAUGAGGAGGAAGUAAGAGUCUCCGUGUCAUGUUCACUCUAACGGAUGUUCCCCACACAGGGAAUGUGGGGAUAAUUGUCAUCUCUGAAGCCCAGAGAGAGACUCGCCCUUCUGGGGGACGGGAGCGGUACCCGGAGGAUGGAGGGUUCAGAUGGGCAGACAGGAGCGGUCCAGCAGCGACCAGAGGUCGACCCUGUGCCCGCGGAUGCACACACGGAGGGACGGUGCCCGUGAGACAGCAUGCCAGGCAUUUGGAUGUACAGGCUGUUGGUAAUAGGAGCCCAAACCUACUGUGUGCAGGGAUGGGACACAGACCCAGCAUCGGAGAUGCGAUGAUUGCCCGAGAAUGGGAGUCGUGGCCGCACGACCGCGUGGGGCCGUGGACCACGGGGAAGAAACACUUCGGGGAAGGACACGCUCUGAACCUACCUACCCCCUCCCCGACCAUGCGCCCUGGGCUUCUGAGCUCUGGGAAGGUGUGGGAGAAAGAGCAAGGCCACAGGGGAGGGCAUCUGGCUGGGGACAAGAGGUUUGGGUCGCUUCUGCAGAGAUUUGGGGGUGGUUUGUCACUUGGCACUAUUGCGGCGAAAGCGCGCUCACGUGUGGCGUUGCCGCAGAAAGGUGCCUGGGACUUAGCGGCGAAGAAACAAACGCCACUGUUUGGAUGGUUGACCUAACGUGCCAACUCGUCACCCUGAAGCGAUGCCCAGGGGGCCGGGAGAACCUGAUCUCUGAGAGGGUCUCUAGGGUGUUUCCAGAAGAGAGGAGCAUUUGAAUGGUCGAGUCCAGGGGGCCCCCUCCCCAGUGUGGGUGGCCGUCACCCAGUCCAUUGGUGGCCCGAACAGAACGACAGGUGGAGGAGACAUCCAUCUUCUCCUGCCGUGGGGACCUCAGCGGCUUUCCUGGUCCUCGGGCUCGCACGCGGCACCUGCUGGGGCUUCUCGGCCUCCAUAGCCACUGAGCCGGCUCCUGCAAUCGUCUCCUCUCAUCUGUGUCUGUAUCUGUUUCUUCGGCUUCUCUGCUGGGUUUCUCUGAAGAACACUGACUAAGACGUUAUUUUGGAAAAAAAUAAUAGGGCAUGGAUGCCAGACUCGGCUUUCUCUACACAUGUCAAUUUCUCUCUCUCUCUCUUUUUUUUUUUUAAACAAACCCUUUUAAAAAAUGACCUCAGAGUUCCUGCUGCGGUGUAGUGGGAUGGGUGGUGUCUCUGCAGCAUCAGGAUGAGGGUUCAAUCCCUGGCCCGGCACAGUGGGUUAAGGAUCCAGUGUUGUCAUAGCUGUGGCAUAGCUCGCAGCUGCAGCUUAGAUCUGAUCCUUGGUCCAGAAACUUCCAUAUACUGCAGGGCAGCCCCCCCAAUUUUUUUUUAAAGGUGACUUUCUCAGAGUUCCCAUGAGGCUCAGUGGGUUAAGGACCUGGCCUUGUCACUGCAGCACCUUGGGUCACUGCUGUGGUACAGGUUUGAUCCCUGGCC
rnacentral:lncRNA from 1 species